CAGCAGCCGCGGUAAUACCAACCCCGCGAGUGGUCGGGACGUUUAUUGGGCCUAAAGCGUCCGUAGCCGGCCCGGUAAGUCCCUCCUUAAAGCCCACGGCUCAACCGUGGGAGCGGAGGGAUACUGCCGGGCUAGGGGGCGGGAGAGGCCGGGGGUACUCCUGGGGUAGGGGCGAAAUCCUAUAAUCCCAGGAGGACCACCAGUAGCGAAGGCGCCCGGCUAGCACGCGCCCGACGGUGAGGGACGAAAGCUGGGGGAGCAAAGGGGAUUAGAUACCCCCGUAGUCCCAGCUGUAAACGAUGCAGGCUAGGUGUUAGGCGGGCUUCGUGCCCGCCUAGUGCCGUAGGGAAGCCGUUAAGCCUGCCGCCUGGGGAGUACGGCCGCAAGGCUGAAACUUAAAGGAAUUGGCGGG
rnacentral:rRNA from 1 species